rnacentral:rRNA from 1 species
UGGGGAAUUGUUCACAAUGGGCGCAAGCCUGAUCCAGCCAUGCCGCGUGGAUGAUGAAGGCCUUAGGGUUGUAAAAUCCUUUCGUUGGGGACGAUAAUGACGGUACCCAAAGAAGAAGCUCCGGCUAACUUCGUGCCAGCAGCCGCGGUAAUACGAAGGGGGCUAGCGUUGUUCGGAUUUACUGGGCGUAAAGCGCGUGUAGGCGGACUUGUAAGUUGGGGGUGAAAUCCCGAGGCUCAACCUCGGAACUGCCUCCAAAACUACAAAUCUGGACCUAAGUAGAGGCAAGUGGAAUUGCGAGUGUAGAGGUGAAAUUCGUAGAUAUUCGCAGGAACACCAGUGGCGAAGGCGACUUGCUGGACUUAUGGUGACGCUGAGACGCGAAAGCGUGGGGAGCAAACAGGAUUAGAUACCCCAGUAGUCCCUGAGCGGGCUGGCAAGGCGCAU